CAAAUCCCAUCCUGCCUCCGCCCCAGCAGCACACUGUGGUUUGUUCAGUGUUAUGGCCAAGUCCAAACCACACUGUGGUGUUAGAGCGAGGGUAGGGGAGGCACCGCCAUCG
rnacentral:pre_miRNA from 15 species